UCUCCGUAGGUGAACCCGCGGAGGGAUCAUUACAAGUGACCCCGGUCUUACCACCGGGAUGUUCAUAACCCUUUGUUGUCCGACUCUGUUGCCUCCGGGGCGACCCUGCCUUCGGGCGGGGGCUCCGGGUGGACACUUCAAACUCUUGCGUAACUUUGCAGUCUGAGUGAACUUAAUUAAUAAAUUAAAACUUUUAACAACGGAUCUCUUGGUUCUG
rnacentral:misc_RNA from 1 species